CACGGAGGGGGCUAGCGUUGUUCGGAAUUACUGGGCGUAAAGCGCACGUAGGCGGCUUUGUAAGUUAGAGGUGAAAGCCCGGGGCUCAACUCCGGAAUUGCCUUUAAGACUGCAUCGCUAGAAUUGUGGAGAGGUGAGUGGAAUUCCGAGUGUAGAGGUGAAAUUCGUAGAUAUUCGGAAGAACACCAGUGGCGAAGGCGACUCACUGGACACAUAUUGACGCUGAGGUGCGAAAGCGUGGGGAGCAAACAGG
rnacentral:rRNA from 1 species